rnacentral:rRNA from 1 species
UUUUCGGGUGGGAAUUCCCAUCCAUUUUUUUGGUCGGGCGCGGUGUGUAUUGCCUGAAGGACCUUCCUUUCCCCAGGGGGGAUAAUGUCCCGAAAAGUACACUAAUUUUCCAUGAGGCCCCGCCAUUGCCUGGUGCGGAGGUCAAAGGAGCAAUCCGGUGGAAGAUGGACUCGCUUCCGAUUAGAUAGUUGGUGGGGUAAUGGCCUUCCCAAUUCAGCGAUCGGUAGCCGACCUGAGAGGGUGAUCGGCCCCACUGGAACUGAGAGACGGUCCAGACUCCUUCGGGAGGCAGCAGUGGGGAAUAUUUGGGCAAUGGGGGAAACCCUGACCCAGCGACGCCGCGUGAGGGAAGAAGGUCUUCGGAUUGUAAACCUCUGUUCUUGGUGAAGAGUGGAAGACGGUAACCAAGGAGGAAGCCCCGGCUAACUACGUGCCAGCAGCCGCGGUAAUACGUAGGGGGCGAGCGUUGUCCGGAAUGAUUGGGCGUAAAGGGCGCGUAGGCGGCUGUUUCAGUCUGGAGUGGAAGUCCUAUUUUUAAGGUAGGAAUUGCUUUGGAAACUGAGCAGCUUGAGUGCAGGAGAGGUCAUCGGAAUUCCCGGUGUAGCGGUGAAAUGCGUAGAGAUCGGGAGGAACACCAGUGGCGAAGGCGGGUGACUGGACUGCAACUGACGCUGAGGCGCGAAAGUGUGGGGAGCAAACAGGAUUAGAUACCCUGGUAGUCCACACUGUAAACGAUGAAUGCUAGGUGUAGGGGGUAUCGACCCCUUCUGUGCCGCAGUCAACACAAUAAG